UGGGCAGCCUGUCCCAAUGCAUUACCACUCUGCUAAGAAUUAUUUUUACCCUAAUAUCCAACCUAACCCUCCCCCGGCACAACUUAAAGCCGUUACCUCUCAUCCUAUCACUGUUACCUGAGAUAAUAAGUUGAUCUGUAUCACCUGCUCUGGAGUAAUUGCCAUGUGCAGAUUCUAAGGGCUUAACAAAGAUCAGUCUUAGAUUUAAGAUCUGUAAUGACACAAAAAAAGGCAUCCUGGCUUUGAAUAAGCAUAAAGAAUGAAAAGGACCAGAUGUGCUCACAGCAUCCAGGAACGCAACCAGAAGCACCAUGGGACAGCACAAGUAUUGCUGGUCUGCUGAAAGGAGAUGAGGGGUGGUUGCUGAGCAAACCUGUGACCUCUCAUGGUGCGAGCCUUUCUUUCCUAGGACAAACCUCUCCUCUCCUUCCAAAACUGUCUUCAGGGCUGGAGGGAAGAUGCAUGGCAGCUCAGUGGUGGGGCAUGAAGAAAACAGCAUGAAUAUAUAUGAGAGAGGUCACAACUGCCCUGGGGUUCAGGCUGCUGAGAUCCCAGCUGCAGUCCUUGCCCCUGCAAACUCUGAUUUCAUGCAGCAUGGAAAACCUCCAGUGGAGAACAGCAGGGGAGAGGCUUCAUGAGACAUCUCAGCUACCAGAUGAGAUGCUUCUCCUCUUCUAAUUUCUGCCUCCUCUUUUGCUGGUAUUCACCUGGCCUCCUUGGUCAUGCACUGAUAGCUCAUCUUGCAGUUUCCAAAUUCACAGUAAAUCCAUGCUAACUCAGAGUAACAGCUUUUAUACACACUGGGCUUCCAAGUCCUUCAAGAAGAAGAACAGCGUUUCUUAGCAGAAGAAACAACUGUAACAACCAGAUACACUUUUUUUUAUGGGGUUUGUCUCAGCUAAACGUAUAUGUAUAAUAUGAAGAUAAGAUGCACCCUCACACAGUAAUUCAUCAUCCCUGUGCUGAACAUCCCCAUCUUCAGGGAAAGAUGAAACUUCUGUGUGGUACCUACACAAGGCACCCACUUCUUUUCCUUGGCCUGAAGUAGAGCUGGGGUCACAGCCACAGAGUUGGAUGUUAGCCUCAAAAAAUUUCACCACAUUCAGCACAGCAGGAGCAUCGUGACUCAGAGCCACCAUGGUGGCAGGAGACAGCCACAGCAACUGUUUAAUGGGUGAUUAUGAGCUGCCUAUUUGCCUAAUGCAGAAAAUCCCUUGAGCUGACACAUUUUCUUCUCAGCUAAGGGCAGGGAAUCCUAAUUUUCAGGCUUCUAGAUUUAACAGUGAAAUAAAAUUAAUUUAUAGCUCUUGCCAUUAGGAGGACAAAUUUUCAUCUCCGUCCUCCGGGUGAGAGGCACUAUAACAAAUGAAUGAUUACUGACCCAUGAUACCUAUUAGAGAUUACAGUUGGGUCAUCUCAUUUGUUGUUUUAACACAAGAAAUUAAGAGCCCUAGCAGGGCUGUCACAAAAAUUGAAUCGAUAAUGAGAUGAGCACGGCCUUUACCAGAGGCUUUGCCUGGAAUUGCCUACGGGAAAAGCUCAGAGAUAACGGGACCUUGAGCUGUGGGUCUGAAUUGCAGGAGCCCAGCAGGACAUUCCAUUUGUACCGUCUUCUUUCCAUUACUACCUGGAAGUGCAAUCUACCCACCAUGAAUUAGACUUCAUACAGACAAAGGAGCAGUUAACCACGUCCUUGCUUGGCCCUUUUGCCUCCAUCACUACCUGCAGUUAAAUUGCCCACCAAAGAGAUUUUGAAUUGAAAGGAGGUAAAUAGAUAGGCCUAACACCAGCUGCCUCACCAGAGCCUGCACUCUUAGCAUGAUGCUGAUUGCAGACUGGCUCCUGCUACGGGGUAAGGUAGCUGAUCUGCUUCAAAAGCAUCCUCAGUGCUGGGAAACUGUUUCAAGUUUCAAGGGAAAUACCAAAGAACAUCAUGUAUCCUGCUUGUUCUGCUUGAUGGAACAUUAUGACCUGCUUGUCCACAUGUGGAGGCAAAACCAGACCUUAGCA